rnacentral:rRNA from 1 species
GAUGAACGCUAGCGGCAGGCCUAACACAUGCAAGUCGAGGGGUAGAACACUUCGGUGUUUGAGACCGGCGCACGGGUGCGUAACGCGUAUGCAAUCUACCUUAUACAGGGGAAUAGCCCAGAGAAAUUUGGAUUAAUGCCUCAUAGUGUUAUAGAAUCGCAUGGUUUUAUAACUAAAGUUCCAACGGUAUAAGAUGAGCAUGCGUCCCAUUAGUUAGUUGGUAAGGUAACGGCUUACCAAGACAAUGAUGGGUAGGGGUCCUGAGAGGGAGAUCCCCCACACUGGUACUGAGACACGGACCAGACUCCUACGGGUGGCAG